ACAUAAAGUACUUUUUGAAGUUCUGCAUUUUUGGCGUUCUGUGUGUGUAUAUAUAUAUAUAUGGACAACUGUUAUUCAUGGCACUGUUUCUCUAAUAUAAGCUUCUGGAGCAAGUAACAUUGAAUAAGACUUUUAAGUAAAAAAAUUCCACUUGGGAGUUUCAACUUAUUUUUUGCACAGUUCCUACAAACAAGCUACUGGAGCAAGUGAGCUUGAACAACACUGGUGUACUUACGAAGAUGCACAUUUGUAGAUGAUUACAAGCUCUUUUAUAGACCACUCUUUUUGAUGGCACAGUCCCUAUAAACUGGAUUGAUGGUGCAAGUAAGGUUGGCGUAAUUAGCGAAGCUUGUUUUUGUUUGUUUUAAAUGGACUUUGACUACAACAAUGUUUAAAGGGACCACUGACUGAAGUAGUUGUUACACGCUUACAAAUAUUUUCUGGGAGUGGAGCAGUAGCUGAUGCACAGUAUCAGGUUGUUUAUUUUCAGACGUGAAGCAACAUAACUUCAUGUGUAUAUGUAUUUGGUAAUCUAGAGUUAUCAAAAUCAUUUUCAUGUGAUUCCACAGGAAGCAGCUGCUAAGUUUUUUUUUUAUUAUUAUUUUUUUUUUUUUUUUUUAAAUCGUAUUGCAUCAAACUAUUAUUAAUAUUUUAUAGCUCAAAUUUAUAAACUCACAAAAGUUUGUUUUAUGUUCAUGUUCAAAUGUCACAUUUUGUGUCCGAUCAAGGUUUACCUUACGAAUUCCCAAAAGGGUAGUGUUAAAGUGUCUUAAUUUUUUAUAUGUGAAGCACCAUAGCUACAAUGUAAUUUAGAAUUAUCAAAAUACAUUUCAUGUGAUAUCAUUACAGCAAGCUGCAGCAAGGUGUUUUUGUUUUUUUGCACCAGACUGUAUCUUUUUUUCUUUUUUUUUUGUACUGUUUUAUAACUAAUAUUGUUUUACUCACAAUUGUUUGUUAUACAUAUUCAUUCAUGUUCGGUCAGAUGUUGUUGUUGUGUUUUUUUUUUUCUUUUUUUUCCACAAAAUGGUGUUAAAGUCCUACAAGCAUUGCUUUGGGAUCAGUUUUCUCAAGGGCCAAGAUUUAGUUGGCUAUAAAUGUUUCUUAUGCAUUGUGUUACAAACAGGAGACUAAAAGUGAAGAAAGCAGGUUAAACUUAAUUGGUGCAUGUUAAAGGCCAAUGGAAAAAAAAAAAAAAUUUCAAAUUUAAA